CGAACGGGUGAGUAAUACAUCGGAACGUGCCCACGUAGUGGGGGGAGUAGCCCGGCCGAAAGCCGGAUUAAUACCGCAUACGACCUACGGGUGAAAGCGGGGGAUCGCAAGACCUCGCGCUAUUGGAGCGGCCGAUGUCGGAUUAGCUUGUUGGUGAGGUAAAAGCUCACCAAGGCGACGAUCCGUAGCUGGUCUGAGAGGACGACCAGCCACACUGGGACUGAGACACGGCCCAG
rnacentral:rRNA from 1 species